AUGCAGAACAUCAAGGAAAUCUUGAAAAUUAUAUGUGCACUCUAUGUCUUUUUCUUAUGCUUACAAGUAUUCUGCACUCAUACUGUUAUGCAUAAGUUCAGGUCGCAUGUGGAGUUUCAGAUAUAUGCAAUUGAAUUAGAGCACCAUGCUCUCACCCAUGUAAUUUGCAGGGAAAACAUAAUAAGUUCUAAGAACAUAAAUAAAGAAGUUCAUAUUUUGAAACAAAUGAAGUAUUUGGGAACUAAAAUGAAGUAUUUCAAAGUACAGAACUUCUAUUUAGGUUUCUUUUGUGUACUUCUAAUGUCACUGUGCAUGAACUUGUUGUUAUUUUUACAUGUUUUACAUGAUUAUUAUGGUCAUUUCGACCUUCACAAAUUUCAUUUUCUUUUUUCCGUUCAUCUUACAGGUUGA
rnacentral:rRNA from 1 species